GACUACCCGGGUAUCUAAUCCCGUUUGCUACCCACGCUUUCGUGCCUUAGUGUCAGAAACGAGCCAGUUAUCUGCCUACGCCAUCGGUGUUCCUCCUAAUAUCUACGGAUUUCACUCCUACACUAGGAAUUCCAAUAACCUCUCUCGUUCUCUAGCUGAGCAGUUUCAGUAAUGUAUAUAUGGUUGAGCCACACGCUUUCACUACUGACAUACUCUGCCACCUACGCAACUCUUUACGCCCAGUAAUUCCGGAUAACGCUUGGAUCCUCCGUAUGACCGCGGCUGCUGGCACGGAGUUAGCCGAUCCUUAUUCAUAUGCUACCGUCAUAUUCGUCACAUAUAAAAGCAGUUUACAACCCGAAGGCCUUCAUCCUGCACGCGGCGUUGCUCCAUCAGGGUUGCCCCCAUUGUGGAAAAUUCCCUACUGCAGCCACCCGUAGG
rnacentral:rRNA from 1 species